GACGAACGCUGGCGGCGUGCUUAACACAUGCAAGUCGAACGGAAAGGCCCUGCUUUUGUGGGGUGCUCGAGUGGCGAACGGGUGAGUAACACGUGAGUAACCUGCCCUUGACUUUGGGAUAACUUCAGGAAACUGGGGCUAAUACCGGAUAGGAGCUCCUGCUGCAUGGUGGGGGUUGGAAAGUUUCGGCGGUUGGGGAUGGACUCGCGGCUUAUCAGCUUGUUGGUGGGGUAGUGGCUUACCAAGGCUUUGACGGGUAGCCGGCCUGAGAGGGUGACCGGCCACAUUGGGACUGAGAUACGGCCCGGACUCCUGCGGGAGGCAGCAGUGGGGAAUAUUGCACAAUGGGCGGAAGCCUGAUGCAGCAACGCCGCGUGCGGGAUGACGGCCUUCGGGUUGUAAACCGCUUUCGCCUGUGACGAAGCGUGAGUGACGGUAAUGGGUAAAGAAGCACCGGCUAACUACGUG
rnacentral:rRNA from 1 species